rnacentral:lncRNA from 1 species
GCUGGGAUCAAGUCUCACACAUAUGAUGACUCAUGGUACAGAAACGAAUGUCACAUCUUUACUAUAUAAUAGGAGUUCUGUACAAAAUAAAUAAAUUAUUACAUCAUACGAAGACAUCGAUCUAGCAACCAUAGUUGACUGGGAGACAACGGCCUAGACCACUCACGAACUCAUCACAGCAUCCUUCACGCGCCUCAUCAUGUGGUACCUGUUCUUGACCUGGGGGAUGUGAGUACAGCAAGGGUGAGCGCACAUACGUUCAUCGCUCAACAAGCUGUGGGGAAUAAUAUGCAUGAACUCGCCAAAGGUGGGAGCUCAUGUGAAGUGUAAGGCUUACCAAUGAGGAUGGUUAAAGCUGAGCAUUGCUUUUAAAGUUGGCCAAAAUUUUAUUAGCAGAUACUAAGUGUAAGUAGAUACCAAACCAGAGUAAUAAUAGAUCAAAAUUAAUAAUAAACCACAAUGUGAUGCAAAUGACAAAUUGAAUUUAAUUCCAUAAAUUAAUCAUGCGAGAGUCCUGAGCUGCUCAUGACCGCGAGCAUGGCUAGUAUACCAGUUUUACACUCUGCAGAGGUUGUACCCUUUACCCACAAGUCAUGUCACCUGAUUGCUAAGGGUCUAGAAGUCCCAUUCAUCUCUAUCGAGGAGACGAGGCAGGGUAACACUACAAGGCCUUUACAAAGUUCCACUAGCUUCAGAAAACCCGCUACAGUUUCUAGAAAGUGCAAUGCAGGAAUCCCCCAUCUGACCGCCAUCGAGCAAAAUCAACCCGAGCCUCCCUACACGCCAACUCCCCUACUUCCCUUGCCUCUUUAGGGUAAGGUAGUCCUCCACUAGCUUUCCUAAUUAGUCAGUCAAGGGCGUCCCAUUCCACCCUUGUGGUGGCACGUGUUUCUCAAGAUAAGCUCCAUGUUCCAAUUAACAUAAUAGUCUUAUCAUAAACAGAAUAGAACAAUAAUAAUAAAUAAUGACCAUGUGUAAUAGUUAUCUCAACUCCCAAAACCAUAUAUAGCAAUAGCAAAGACUACCCAAAAGUUCAGGGGUAAACAAGGUGUGUGAUAAACAAGUCUAGGGAAAUCUAUUAGGUCCCAUCAGAUUAACAUGAGCAUGUCACAGUGAUUAACAUGAACAUUAUUGGGUAAAGAAAAGUGAUCGAGGGCACAACUUUCCUGAGACUUGAGAUUCCAGGUACCAACUUGCUCUUCUAGUGACUCGUAAUCUCGCGCUAGUCGUAGCAAUGCAAACACACAGGGUAUAGUCAAAAUUAACAUCACACCAAAUAUAAGAACAAACUGUAUAAUAACAUUCUACGCGUCGCUACGAGAUCGUGGGUUCGAGAACUACUAAGGUCGGAGUUACUGUUACGGAGUUAUGAUUUAUGGAAGAUCUAUGUGAUAUAAAUAUUAGACUAUAUUAUAAAUUGGUUAGUGUUUAUCAUAUGAGAAACUAUUCUAUAAAUAAUUAAUUCAAUUUUAAUCUUAAUUAUAACUUGACUAGAGAUCAUAUUUUACUCAAAUUAUAAUUAUGGACAUGUUAGCUUUGAUUUAGAAGAGUUAAUCUAGUAGACCUAGGAUAAAUAAAUAUCUAACUAUAAAAGUAUGCGACAUGGUAUAAUUAAUGUUGUUACUGCGUAAUAGAUUUUUAUAUGAAGCUAAUGCAAUUUGAACGGAUCAAAUUAGAGUUAAAAUGUGAAAGUUAUGAUUUAUCUAAGCUCUUGGAAUUAUUUCUAUAGAAAAAAUCAUUUUCUAGUUUCUUUUAUUAAAUCUGAGAUUUAUUUGGACUGCGGGUAUGAUUUACUAGAAGCACAGGGGCUAAAGCACAACUAUUUUGGGCUCGACUGUAAAUCAUUUUAACUGGGGUAGGAUGGCGGGUUGAUAAGUGAAAAGAGCAAGGGUUCUUAUGCAAAACCAUCAGGCCGAAAGGGUAUAUGCAAUUCACAGUCGUUCGAUAUUCUUUCUGCGGACCAGAUUAGAUCCAAGCCCUAUUGAACCAGUAUGCCAUUAGGACCGUUGAUUUUGGGAUCUUCACCUAGGAUUUAAUAUACUCGUGAUCUAAUAUGAGCCGCUACCUGCCAGAUCUACGGUUUAGAUUGCCCCACACGAAGGGGUACGCCUGUCAUGAUCUCGGCUGCAUGCUUGCAAUCCAACGGCGCACCUAUGUUCUUCCACCCCCCCCCCCCCCCGAUGGCUAGGGGCGGUGGAGCAGAGGCCCACGGCAGCGCUCUCCACCGGCGCGCGGGGAAUCCGGCGACCCGGUGCCUGAAUCCUAUGGACGAUGGGUUCCAUACACUGGAUAGGACAAGGUGAUACUCAUGGAAGGUAGCUCACCUCGGAUUGGGGCAACAGGGGCCCUACAUACGCGACACCAUGGCAUUCAUACCGCACCAACAGCUCCGACGACGAAUUCUCGUGCCCCGAUUGCCCCAGAGUGCUUCAAAACGAUGCUCAUGCAUUCCUCGCAUCCAGGCGACACGCCUGACCCGCAAACUGAACUUCGGCCGCCAGCGCAGACGAAUAACGACGGUGGCGACAUCCUUCUUCAUCCCUCUGCUCUCGACGGCCGCACACGGCGGGGGUGUCAACGGUCGUGUGGACACCAGUG